CAGAGCCAAAGAGGGAGCUAGAAAUUUCGUCUCUGAAGCUUCAAGGUUCGGACCCAAAAAAAUUGCUGUCUAUCAUCUUCCUCUCCUCCGUUCUGUUCUCAUCACCGGUGGAAGUGGAGGCUUGUCACUGCUCUGAUACGUUCAGGUCUUUCUUCGUGCUCCCUAUCUCUGUUUGCUUUUCUUGUUGCUGCUCUGCCUUUGUCGUUCACAUCUGAGUCGCUGGUUGAUGGAAGAAAUCAGGUCGUUGGAGUUGGUGUACUGAUCGCGAGCCUGAUCUGGUACUGAAUCUGUUCUUUCUAUCUUCCUUCUUUCUGGUUCAGACGAAAAUCUCGUCUUCUCUUCCUAUUCGGUCGACAGCUUCUUAAUCUCUCCCUCCUUUAUUCUUUUCAUUCGUGGUUGGGGAACGAAGGAAGAGCUGGUCUGGUGCUGUGGAAGGACUAACUCGUGGCUUAGAGGCUAAAUUAUUGCUGUCUUCUUCUUCCCCUGUUCAGCUGUAGGUUCCGUUUUCCUUCUUCCCUAUGUGCGCGCUGUCGGCUGCCUGAGGGCAAAAAGGAGGAGAAGCUGUGAGUCUUGAAGCUGUCUAUCGAAUGAGGAGAAGAGGAGAAGAGGAGAAGAGAGAGGUGUUUGUCAAAUGCUCGCUAUUGAAUGCUAGCCGUGGGUCUUGAUGCCAUGAGAAGGAGAAGAGAGAGUUGCUGUGGAAAGGAAAGGAGAGAUUUAUAGUGGGGAGGAGAGGAGAGAGGUGCCGUUGUCGAAGGGAAAGAGGGAGAGGAGUUAGGUUUUGUAACAUCCUAAAAAUUUUAAGACUCAAAUUUAUUUAAAAAAUAAAUAAAUAAAAAUAAAAUAAAAUAUCUAUAAUUAAAUUAAAAUUUAGAAUAAUUUAAUAGAGGCCCAGAGUUUGAAUUUUACUAAGCAAAAGUUUAGUUUUAUUUGAUUUUUAACUAUGGGAAAAAUUACCAAAGUUGACCCGGGCUUUUGUGCAAUAAUAAAAAAUGUUGGGCCCUUUCUUGUAAUUUUUCCCAAACUUUUUGACCAGCAUUUUAAAGAGCAAACAGAUGCAGAAAAAGCAAAAAAUGAACAAGGGAAGGAAACGCACAAACGGUAGAGUGAGAGAGAGAGAGAGAGAAGAAGAAAGGAGAAAGAGAGGGAGUUAGGCUUGGAUCUAGGAGUCUUUACGACCGUUGCGAGCUCGGCUACACGAUAGAAAAUUGUUGGUGGAACUUAUUGAGAAGUAAGGAACAAGCCGAGCCCUAUUUUGUACAAGGAGAACCCUUUUGGUACCAAAGGGUUGAGGUAAUAGGGGAAAUUUAUAUUUCUUAUUACUUUGUUUUAGCUAUUUUUGAAUAAAUAUUACUAGUUAUCAUGCAUUACAUGUUUUAAAAGAUUAAAUGUGCUUUAUAAGGGGUUAUGGGGUACUACUUUGAUUAUAGUGCAAAUAUGUUUUCUAAUUGUUUAAUAACAAUGUUUUUAUGAAAAUGAGAUUUAUAAAUAUUAUACUACUUUAGAGUGUUGAAUGGUCAAUACUCAAGAAAGGUAGAUAAGAGUAAAAGGCAUGAUCUCGGUGGGAGUUCACCAAUGAGAAGGUGUGGAUUUUUGAUAUUUUAUGGCACACUGUCAGUACUCAGUGUUGUCUUACGUAUUGUGGGCUCAGUGCACUAAAGUGGUUAGUGUAUUGAGUGUUCGACACCUCUCAGUGGGGGAGGGAAUCCAACAUAUGAAGUGUGAGGUUGAGUGCCUAGGCCAAGGUAGCCCUCACAUGGAAAGUAAGUUGGGCUGGCUCUGGGAGGGAGUUAGCUUCAACUGCUUAGGAUUCACGUCGAAGGAGCAUAGGAGGUUCGGUGGAUUAGAUCAUGCCUUAGAUUAUGUUUUGUGCCUGUGGAGGUACAAGUAGGUAUAAGGUUUACCUGUGAGUU